rnacentral:rRNA from 1 species
GAUUUCUGGUUUAACAUGCUUGGCCCGCUACGAUAAGUGGUGAGUGCCGAGUCGUGUUUACCAUCCUUCUAGACACAGUUUCUACUCUUCAUUGAGCCGGAGAUUGCAUCUAGAUCUUUUACUUUGAAAAAAUUAGAGUGUUUAAAGCAAGCGUUUGCUAUGAAUACAUUAGCAUGGAAUAAUAAUUUAGGACUUUGGUUCUAUUUUGUUGGUUUCUAGGACUGAAGUAAUGAUUGAUAGGGAUAGUUGGGGGUGCUAGUAUUCAGUGGCCAGAGGUGAAAUUCUCGGAUUCACUGAAGACUAACUUAUGCGAAAGCAUU